rnacentral:rRNA from 1 species
CAGAGGGUGCAAGCGUUAAUCGGAAUUACUGGGCGUAAAGCGCGCGUAGGUGGUUACUUAAGUCAGAUGUGAAAGCCCCGGGCUUAACCUGGGAACUGCAUCUGAUACUGGGUGACUAGAGUAGGUGAGAGGGGAGUAGAAUUCCAGGUGUAGCGGUGAAAUGCGUAGAGAUCUGGAGGAAUACCGAUGGCGAAGGCAGCUCCCUGGCAUCAUACUGACACUGAGGUGCGAAAGCGUGGGUAGCAAACAGGAUU